CUUAAACAGAGCUGUUCCUUAUCUGAAUAACUUUCCAAGUCUGCCUGGUCUGUAGUAUAUUUGGCCAACUUCAAAAGUAUCUUCAUCAUUCAUUUAGGAUAUCAGCAGACCUCCAGGUACUGUAGUGGAAAGCAAUCAAGAGCAGUUAAGAAGUGUUCAGACUGACAAGCUGACCAAUUUCAUGUAGCUAUUGAACAUGAAGGAAACUACAUCAGAGCCAGGUCUCUAAGAGAGAGACUACAGCCACAUCCCAGCUGUUCCUGAUUCUGCCCUUAAGCAGCAACCAUAGUAAAGAUCAUGAGCUCAUCUUCUGAGGCCCUCUAGCACUGGUAAUUUUGCAUGAGAAGCUGUCAGUUGCUGGAGGGCAAGACUGAAGAGUCUGACACGAGCUCUUUGUUUCCUUUUGUGAUUUGGGCCAGUUCCCGAAAACAUUCCUCCAACAGCAUUCUGGAGUGCCAUUGAUGGCCUUUGUGCCUCUGUUCUUCUCUAAUCAAUAAGAAGACAGAAUGAAAAUACAUGAGGGGGAAAAGAAUUAAAUCCAGCUGUAGCAGCAUAGGUGAAGGGACAUAUCUGAUGUAAGAUGAAACCAAUACAAGAGGACAGAGAUUGAAGCCAACAA